rnacentral:tRNA from 1 species
GCGGCGGUGCCGGAGUGGCCAAAUGGAUAUUCCAGGCUUGACGGACAAGCUUCAGGAGCUUGUGGCUUAGUGCCUUCGCAGGUUCGAAUCCUGUCCGCCGCA